UACAUAUGGUGCAAGCGUUAUCCGGAAUGACUGGGUGUAAAGGGAGCGUAGACGGUUGUUCAAGUCUGAUGUGAAAGCCCUCGGCUUAACUGGGGGAGUGCAUUGGAAACUGAAGGACUAGAGUAUCGGAGAGGCAAGUGGAAUUCCUAGUGUAGCGGUGAAAUGCGUAGAUAUUAGGAGGAACACCAGUGGCGAAGGCGGCUUGCUGGACGAAAACUGACGUUGAGGCUCGAAAGCGUGGGGAGCAAACAGG
rnacentral:rRNA from 1 species